rnacentral:rRNA from 1 species
UACGGGGGGGGAAAGCGUGGUUGGGAAUUACGGGGCGUAAAGGGCGCGUAGGCGGUGGGAUAAGGCAGCUGUGAAAACCACGGGCUUAACUCGUGGCCUGCAGUUGAGACUGUCUGGCUUGAGUGUGGGAGAGGAGAGUGGAAUUCCUGGUGUAGCGGUGAAAUGCGUAGAUAUCAGGAGGAACACCCAUAGCGAAGGCAGCUCGCUGGGACGGUACUGACGCUGAGGCGCGAAAGCGUGGGGAGCGAACAGG